UACGUAGGCAGCGAGCGUUGUUCGGAGUUACUGGGCGUAAAGGGUGUGUAGGCGGUUGUUUAAGUUUGGUGUGAAAUCUCCCGGCUCAACUGGGAGGGUGCGCCGAAUACUGAAUGACUUGGAGUGCGAGAGAGGAGAGUGGAAUUCCUGGUGUAGCGGUGAAAUGCGUAGAUAUCAGGAGGAACACCGGUGGUGUAGACGGCUCUCUGGACCGUAACUGACGCUGAGGAGCGAAAGCUAGGGGAGCAAACAGG
rnacentral:rRNA from 1 species